CUUCUUACCACCUCCUCCCUGUGCCCACCGCCGCCCGACCUCCUCCCCACCGCGCCGCUACCCGGCCUCCUCCCAGCGCUCCGCCGGCCGGCCUCCUCCCAGCGAACCUCCGGCCGGCCUCCCCCCCGCGCCCCUGAGCGGCCUCCUCCCCACCGCGCCACUGGCUGGCCUCCUCCCCCAGCGCGCCUCCGGUCGGCCUCCUCCCAGCACGCCUCCGGCCGGCCUCCUCCCACCGUGCCUCUGGCCGGCCUCCUCCCCACCGCGCUGUCGUCCGGCCUCCUCCCCACCGCGCCGUCGCCCGGCCUUCUCCUUGAGCGCGCUGCCGCCCGGCCCUCUCCCCAUCGCUGGCAGCGUCUCCAUUCUGCUCCGGCCGCCUCUCUCCCUCCGACCACCAUGGCUCCAACCUCUCGCAUCUCGCACUGCCCUCAUGUAGUUGGAGCACCCUGCCCGUUCACAGCCACCACUUUCAGGCCGUUCAACGCCACCACCCAAAGCAGUUCACCGUAGCAGAACCCUGGAUCCCGCUGCCACCAUGUCUCUGUCCUGCUGCAGCAUGGCUCAGCUACUGCACUUGGUGGAGGGAAGAGCCUUUCCCCUGCGGAAUGCAAGUGUUCAUGAGGUAGGAGCGGAGAAGGAAGAUGGAAUCUGCUGGCUACGGUGGAGGUACCAGACUUUGAUAUGAUGAUGCUUACUGACAGAAGUGAAGUUCCUCCACUACAGCCACUGCGGCCCACAACAGCCCUUGGUGGUGGAGUUCGUCGCAUCCAUCAGUCCAACCCCAUGGCUUCAGGGCAUCCAAGUUUCGUCGCGGCCAUCAGUUCGGACACCUGUGUCACUGCGUGUGUUGCACUCACGGCCAUUUGUGUCACAGUGUGCUCUGUCACCGGCCUCCAGUGCACCGGGACCCCUGCCGCACUCCUUCCUCUCCCUGAAGCCGCUCGUGCCCUCCCAGGCUUGAUAUCCUGCUACAGCGAUGAGCUCAUGUACAUCGCCGAAGUUCCAUACCCGCUCAACGGCACCAGCACGAGGAGCGUGCCUCAAGGUCAAGUAUGCAGACGCAUGCAGAGGAGUGCAGGUUGUCCGAUGCGCCAAGUAUUGCCAGCAGCGAUGCCUGCUUACAUCUUCCUCGUGUGAUUCGCCAAGGCCGUGUACUCCUCCUGAGAUAAGAAGAGCGAUAAGGAGGUGAUCAGUCCAGCUCCUGCAACCAACACAGGUCGUUGCCCCUUUUGCCACAACGGCAGCAGCACAAACAUUAGUGUGGUCGUCCUCAACCAGUUCCUCACGCAGCCUCCACGCAAGCCCUGCUCAUGUAUGCUUACACCAAAAGUACACCUCUUGCUACUCUCCUUGUACUUGCACUUGCUUAUUUUCUAAGCAAUAAUUCCUAUUGCUUCCUCUUGGGGGAAGGGAUCCCAUGUUAAAGCUAUCUUGGUGCUCACCCACUGUUUAUAUUCAUCAGCAUAGUGUACGAAACAUAUGAAAACCAUUCUGGCUUCGGAGAAAAUAUAACCAGUACAUGUGCAAUUGCGUGAGAAGUUCCCUUAUGAAAGUUCCUUGUAAACAAACCACAUGAAAGUUCAUCGAGAAAAACUUUGUAAGUUCAAACGGCUAUAGGAAAACUUUGUAGGUUCAGAUGGGUAUAGAAAACUUCGUAAGUUCAAAAUGGGCACGCCUAACAGUGCACGAAUAAAUAAACUAUAAACCCAACAAAGUCCAUGUUGGUCGGUCUACAGUGUGUUGUCUAUAAAGUUGUUGGCCUUGGAGGCCGACACUGGCUGAUCAUCUACCUUCCAAUUAUUAUUAGGCAUAUACCACUGAAACUGCAGGUCACGCCCUCCUCCCGCUGUAGGUCGCGCCCUCCUCCCGCAUAGCCUAUUGGUUGGCGCACCAUGACCCCUCCUCAUAUUUUUGCAAUUCAACAGGGGCGUGGGGUUCAGUUUGACGGUGACGACCCAGGCAGCCGGCCUUCGCAUAACGAACUGGUGCAGUUUGAUCUUGUGUGAAUUGGAAAUCCCCUGAUGCUGAGUGUGUCAGUACAAUCCUACGCUACAAGGCACGCGUACAUCCACUUCACGUUAGAUGUCUCUUCAGAAGCAUUCACGGUCAAAAAUAGCGGCAACCUCCGUUCAAGUUGAGCAAUUGUCACCGUCCAAGUAAAGCACUAGGCACCUUCCAAGUUGAUCAAUCAUAUGGGGGUACAUAGCAGUGGGACAUCGAGCUUCUGCACGGCAGGUCCAUCCUUGAAGCGCAAGACUUUUUGUCUUUCAUUGCUCAUAAAGUGUACUGAUUGUUUGUUUUGAGUGGUACUGGUUUUGCCCAGUUUUAAGCUUUGGGACGGUUCAAAUUU